CAUACUUUAUGGAUGACGCCUAAUGUAAAUGUUAAAUGUAUUUUUUUUGAAUAGAUAGUAGGUUUUGCCCUAGUGCUUUUGUCCUACCAAAAAAAAUGUACUGCAGAAAAAAAAAUAUAACUGCAAAAAAAAGAAAAGAACUAUCGAGCCUAACCUCAAUACCUUAAGGUAGGUGAAAAAUUCCAGUAUAGUAAACUGUGAAAUUGCGUUAUUCGAUCUUUUCAAAAAAACUAAACCGCUCUACGUUGUGGUAAGCCAGGUCGUAUGUUUAAAUGAAUGUUAAUAAUCGACCUUAUGAGAAAACAAAUGCUUAAAACAAAAAAAAAAUGCUGGUUUGGAUUUCUCCAAAGAUAUGGUCAGCAUGUCACAAAAAGUUAAAUUAAAAAUCACCAAAUUUUUUUUACCGUGUAUCAUUUUGUUUAAGUGUAGUCCUUAUCCAAACCUACAACUUUGCCCAUGACACCAAAUUGAUUACAUCUUAAUUACGAGCAUGGUUAAUGAAAUACUCGUAACACAAAAAAAAAACAAAUACUUAUAAGCUGACAAAGACUUUUCUGCCAAACGACAUAUUCCUCCUUUUAAUUUUCUGCCGAGUGGCAUUCUGCCAAACAUCAUUCUGCCGAAUAGUUUUCUGCCAAUCGACCAGAUACUAUUCUGCCAAUCGUUUUGCCGCCAUUUUAACAUUCUGCCAAAUGACACUGUCUGCCACUUGACCUUUUCUGCCGAAAAUUAUUCUGCCGUUUGUACUUUUCUGCCAGAUAUUUUUCUGCCAAAACAUUUUCUGCCGUUUAACCUUUUCUGCCAUUUAGCGUUCUGCCAAACGUCAUUCUGCCGAACGAAUUUCUGCCAAUCGGCCCAGUCCCGGUCAAAUUUCAUGGACUAACGACAGUUACUGAAAUAGCAAUGGAACCAUCUGAAGAAUUUGUCUUUAAAAUAUAAUUAUCUUUCUUCCAGCUUCCGGGAAUCUUCUUUAAUUUGAAUGCCUACAUUUAUCUAUUCACUAGAUGAUUUAUUUAAAUGUUUAUAUCCUUCCUUAUCCUAUUCCUUUUCUUUCAGCAAUGGAACCAUCUGGAGCAUUUGUCAUUUUUAAUUAUAGUUGUUUGUUUUGCAGCUUCCCGAAAUCAUCUUUAAAUUUACUGCUUAUUUGUAUUUAUCUUUUCACUAUAAGAUUAAUUUUUAUAUUCAUAUCUACCAUUCCCCCAUACAAUAUAUGAUCAAACAAGCUCUUCCUGGCAAACAUCGUCCUGCUCUUUUUUGGUUUCCUGACGUUUCAUGCUUGUUUGCUUAUUCAGCCUCCUGUGAUCAAAAUUUGAUUUUACGUAACUUUUCCCAUACAAUCUGCAGCUUUUCCGGAAUCGGUUCAAGAGUGGCCAAAGUGUCAAUUAGUUAGCGUAAGAACCUUCCUUAGGCUUAUACGAACCCAACACAACAAAGAGCACCUCGAUCCGACGCUCCGUAUUGAACAUAUUCGCGUUCGAACAAAACCGUCGAAAUUUUUUAUAUAUAUAUAUAUAGAUUGAAUGACAAGAAAGAACAUGGGGUGUAAUCUACUAGGAUACUUUCUUCGGAUUAGCUGCGCUUGUGUCUAAUCAAACAAGUAAAAAGAGUAUGAAUUGUUAAUAUUCAAUUGAGGUUUUGCAGCGCGACUGCGUUUCAAAUGUAGGUGGCGCCAAAAUGAGGUUACUUGCCUAAAGUCGUAUGCCUUUCUGUCGAUUAAAGAACAAAAUCGCUUAUUUCUCAUGAUUCCCUGCAUCAAUCUUCAUGAAACUGGUUUUUUUGCUUUAAAAUAAUGAACAUCAACUUUUGGGCGCGCAAAAAUUUGUGACCUUUUUCUUUAAAAAACAUGUUUUGGAACACGAAAAAAUGAGUUUCUCCGUAUAUACCAAGGAAAUAACCAGUUAUAUAGUUGAUAACAGAUGUGUUAACGUAUAUUCAACAAUUUGUAUUGAUUUUUGACAGACUUUCUUGCCAAAUAGUCCAAAUUACUAUCUUUUUCUAAAUUUACAGUUUUCGCAUAGAAAAAUCAAAGAAAUAUUGGAAAGUUAUACACCAAAUUGUUGGAAAUAACACACCUAUGAACAAAUAGCGUAAACCUAUGAUUUUUAGAAAAAAUGUGUUUUUUCCUUCCGUAUCAACAUUUUUAUAAAAAUUAUGCCAGAUUCGAAUGAGAAAAAUUAUUUCUAACAAUUUGGUGUAUAACUUUCCAAUAUUUGUUUGAUUUUUCUAUGAGAAAACUGUAAAUUUAGAAAAAGAUAGUAAUUUGGACUAUUUGGCAAGAAAGUCUGUCAAAAAUCAAUACAAAUUGUUGAAUAUACGUUAACACAUCUGAUAUCAACUAUAUAACUGGUUAUUUCCUUGAUAUAUACAGGGAAACUAAUUUUUUCGUGUUCCAAAACAUGUUUUUUAAAGAAAAAGGUCACAAUUUUUUGAGUGCACAAAAGUUGAUGUUCAUUAUUUUAAAGCAAAAAUUUUUUCUCGUCUUUUGCAACCAGUUUCAUGAAGAUUGAUGCAGGGAAUCAUGAGAAAUAAGCGAUUUUGUUCUUCAAUCUAGCAGAAAGGAAUACGAUUUUUGGCAAGUAACCUCAUUUUGGCGCCACCUACAUUUGAAACACAGUCGCGCUGCAAAACCUCAAUACGUUGCCUGUUUAUAUGUAAGUACCAAUAAUACAUGAACAUUUUAAAUAAUUUAGUUUUUAAGAAUUAGUUAAAGAAUUAUUUUUAUUUGCAGGAAAUGGAAAAUCAUCGCAACAAGUUUGCUUAUCAAUAUAUUAUUUUGUUUCUUUAUUUUUUUCAUCAUUUCACCUCAGUGAACUAACAGCGCACGUAAGAUGUAUUAACGGUACACAUCAACCAUAGUUUUUGCACCCAGAUUUCUGUUACAGACAUUUUAGUAUCUUCAAAACUACGGGAAAUAUCGAUAUAUUUUUUUAUUCAUCCCCUAAAUUACUGUCUUCGUAGUUAUUUACAACAAGGUUUGACUAUUUUUACAAUCAGAUUUUUGCAGGAUUGGGUCCGUAAGUUUGACAAUUUUGGAAUAAGAAGACAACAACUUCCUAGGUUGCUGUGCACCCUUAAGAACAAAAUUAUUUUGAAAAUUAUGUUUUUUUUUUCUUCAUAUUUUUGCAUUAUUUCUAAAUUUCAGCACACAAGAAUCUACAAAGAUCUGCAUUUCUAUAUAAGGCACUUUGUGUUUUUUUCAGUUUUAGAUGAACUUGAAAAAACACUAUCAGAAUCCUGAAGGAACCUGAACGGGUAUUCUGCUUGGGCGGAUGAAAUAUGUGUGAAUGGCGCAUCAAGGGCGAGCCAAGGCGGUUGGGGCUUUUUGGGCGGAUGAAUUUUAUAUGGGGGGCGUAUCAAGGGCGACCCACUGGCGAACCAACCUUCAGGGGCGUCUGUACCGUAUAUGAAAGGCGCAUCAAGGGCGAGCCAAGGCGGUUGGGGCUUUUUGGGCGGAUGAACUUUAUAUAGGGGGCGGAUCGGGGGCGACCCGCUGGCAGACCAUCUUACAGGGGCGGACGAACCGUAUAUGAAAGGCGGGUCGAGGGCGAGCCACGGCGGUUGGGGCUUUUUAGGCGGAUGAACUUUCUAUGGGAGACGUAUCGAGGGCGACCCGCAGGCGGACCAUCCUAUAGGGGCAGUUGAACCAUACAAAACGGCGUAUGUGGGGCGAAUGAACGGCGGGUGAAACAUUCGCCCCACAUACCAUACGAAACGGCGGGCUGCCCAGUCAAUGUGGGGAUCUUCUUUCUGUUAGCUAGAUAAGGUAAUGAUUUUCGUUGCCUCUUGAGCUACGAUGCUACCCAAGUAGCACACUUUGUUCGCCAAAAGAUUUCCGAACUUGUUGUUGAACUCAUUUACUAUGUUUUCCCAACGUCCCUGAGAACUCUUGAACGCUGGAAAAAGCGCACGUUUUUCUGUUGUUGAACAUCUCUUAACCUGUUAGAAAUGUGCGUGGUUUAAUUAAGUUUUACCAGCGCACGUCCUACUUGCAUAGAGAACGUUUGUUGAACAUGUCAUAAGAACUCUUGACUAUAAGAUUCUGAACCGGGUUGGAUAACGUCGUUAGAACCGUUUAACAACAUUCUGCCUUUAAGAUUCAGGAGGGAGUUAGGCAAACGUUUUUAUAACCGUUCAAGAACAUAUCGUGGCAGACAAGAAUGUUAAACAGGCUUUUCAUAAAAUACGUCCAAGGUGUUCGCUCAAAAGUCGUUUUUUCUUUAUUAAACCCUUUAUUUAUGAGUAAUGUCGCUUUACGAUACUUUAACUACUAGUUUUUUGUAAUUUAUUAGUUUGGACAGGGAUACGCCAUUUAUGAAUAAUAAUAAUAUGAAUGAUGGAUAAUACAAUAAUAUCAACCAUAAAAAAUCAUUCAGUUUCCUAUUUAUGCCUUCGGGGAUUUUUUUUUCAAUUAUGUUUGAGUGCUAAUGAACAUCGCUUGCUACUACUACUCUACCACUGCCGCUGUUUCUAUUUUUAGAACUAUCCUUGCUUUUUUCGUCAACAUGACCUUGCUCGGAUUUUAGAACACGAACGCGAACUUCACAUAAACAACUUGUUUACGAGAAAUCCCAGCCGAAGAGAAAGGUCAAAUCUACUAUGUUAUCACGUUCAGCAAACUGAAAUGAAACAUCAUGUCUGCAAAUGUCAUUUUGAUUUACGAGUUCUACAAGUAUGUUUCAUUGAGGUCAGAAUAAACUUCAAAAUGAACUAUUCGUAAUCCGUUGCUAGAUUUGGCAUUUGUGUUACACAGCCAUGUUGAACAAUGGUUUUUUGAUCAAAAUGUGAACAAUUGACCAAAUGUGUUGCCACUUGUUCAAUAAUUAACGAAUAAAAACACUUAUGCAGCAAUUGUUCAACAAAAAAAUAAAGAGCGAUGUUUUUCUUGCUACUUGGGUAUGGAGAGGGUUUAACACACAAACAACCGACGUCGAGCCCUCCGAGCUACGGAGCUAUGGGAAGGUCUUUUCAACACAAAAAAGACGCGCACCACACGACGUUCUUGAUGUUUCAAAAUAAUUUUGUUACGCGAUAAACCUAACGAACUCAAUCGUCAACUUGCCAUCCAAUCAGCGAUGAUGAAGAAAGGGCUUGAAGCACACAAUAUCUCACCGAUUAAUAUGAAUAAUUUUCAAGAUCGAUCUUGUUUUAUAACUACAGCGCGACUCACAAUCCUGAUCUGUUUUUUUCUUUUUCUUUUCAUUUUUUUUGCUUUUUUCACUUUCUACACAAACACAAUUAUAAUUGAAUAAUUUCCCCCAACCAACGCGUCCCUUCACUCACCAAUCUUGCAAGCACAAUCCUGAUUUUUUUUUCUUCACUUUGCACACAAACACAACCUUCCGCUUGCACUGGUGGAACAUAAUCUGAACACAAACAGCGACACAAAAGAGACGAAAAUUAUCGCGAAAAAACAGGACUGCGCGUCCCCAGAAGCACUGCAUUUAUGAUGCCAUUAUUCAAUUAUGACCAAUCACCCCAUGCACACAAACAGCGACACAAAAGAGACGAAAAUUAUUGCGAAAAAACAGGACUGCUCGUCCCCAGAAACACGGCGUCCGGUUUCGAGCAUCUUCGAGCGUGAAAUGAAAAAUCACUGCAGCACUGGUUGCUGCGAUUUGGCGAACCCCGCCGUCGUUGUCAAACGUCAACGGCGAAAAAUGCAACGGCAACUUCGUUUGAGCAAAAAGCGCGCGCAAAGAAGGAGAGAGGAGAGAAGCAGCGAGAAAAAUCAUUCCGUUCGCAAACCUUGUACGGUUAACAUAGCUGUAAAUAAAAUCGGUCGAAAGAGUUUUUGCAAAGAAACCGCGUGUCAUUUAUUUUUCCUAAAGUGGAUUACAGUCCCGCUAGUAGUUUGAGGAAACAUUCUCGGUUGAGGACAAAGUGGCCUCAACAGCACCAAUGAUGCCAUUAUUCAAACUGCUACACAAAAGAGACGAAAAUUAUUGCGAAAAAACAGGACUGCGCGUCCCCAGAAGCACUGCACUUAUCGAAAAAAAUCGAAAUUUUAUACCGAAAAUAAAUUUGACCUCAAUUUUUUUAUGAAUAUGCAAUCGAAAAGUACUUUAGGGUAGGGUAGUCAUCAAUGAGACACUUUUGGUUUUCAACUUUCAACGAUUUUUCUAAUUUUUUCAUCAGCAUAUUUUAAUGAGCUUUUUGUUGCAUUUUCAUUCUUUUAGUUUGUUCUAACAUUGACCAAAAUAUGAGAUCGAUCCGACAUCUACAGUCACAGUUAUUCAACUGUCUCAUUGUAGACGCACUUGGCAGGAACAAUGAGACAGCUGGGGAACAAUGAGACACUCUACAAAAAUCAAUACUUUUUUAGUAAAACAUCAUGUUUUUGUAUUGUUCCAUUGUAGGUGACUUGCCUUGAACAUUUUAGAGCAAUUUUGCCAACAUGAAACUUUAAUUAACAAAAGUUAUACUAAAAAGUAUUGAAAUAUUGUAAAAUCCAUAUAUUUAUGCCAAAUAACUUUGUAUGUUUGGUUAAAUGAAGUUAAAACUCUAUAAAUAUGCCAAAAAUCACUUUCAGUUCAUGUUUUGAAAGAUUUCCAUACAUUUUGAAAAGUUUAAUGAAGAAAAAUCGAAGUGUCUCAUUGUUACCCAUGGGCUGAAAUGAGUGGGGAACAAUGAGACAGUCCAGGAUUCUGGGUUUAUUCUAAAUUUUGGCCAAACCUAAUGAAAGGACAUGGUAGCCCAACUCAAUCCCUGUGGAACGUCGAAAGAAAUUUGAAGAAAUAUUCGUUUUGGUGUAAAUGGCAGCCUACGAGCGAAAAAGUAAUUUUUGUCCAUAAUUUACUUCUACACUCCAGAAUCAAACAUUUAUGAAUAACUUUUCAAGGUAGCGUCCAUAACCAAAGCCACUAUUAUGGCAGACGUGUAUCCAGUAGACACACCUUUCCCCCAAAUAUGAGCCUGAUUGGUUGAAACUACGACUUGUGAGAGCCAUUUUAUCAUUGUUCUCCGUGUCUCAUUGAUGACUACUCUACCCUAUAGUUUUUUUGAUUAAGGGCUCGGUUUUCAAGAUAUAGAGUCCGUUUUGCGAUGCCUGUCCAUCUAGAGAUCCUAAAUAGGGAGACUGGACGAAGUGAAUUUGACGUACCCAAACAGACGCGAGUUUGACGUAUCCAAACGAGCAUUUGCCUUUACGCCCAGCAAAACUUAUCAGUGUUGCCAAGCUCAAAACAUACGUUGCCAGAUCGAUUUAGCAAGCUUAGACCAGUCUCCCUAUUUAGGGUCUCUAUGUCCAUCGGGUCGCAUGUUUUUUCGCGUCGUUCGUCGACGGUGAGUUUGUCGGGUGAGUGCGCGCGUGUGUGUGUGAAGGUGCGGCUGGUUUGGUUGAAAAAAUGACAGUUGAGCCAGUCCGUUUUGCGAUGCCUGUCCGUCGGGUCGCAUGUUUUUUCGCGUCGUUCGUCGUCGGUGAGUUUGUCGGGUGAGUGCGCGCGUGUGUGUGUGAAGGUGCGGCUGGUUUGGUUGAAAAAAUGACAGUUGAGCCAGUCCGUUUUGCGAUGCCUGUCCGUCGGGUCGCAUGUUUUUUCGCGUCGUUCGUCGUCGGUGAGUUUGUCGGGUGAGUGCGCGCGUGUGUGUGUAAAGGUGCGGCUGGCUCUGGUUCAAAAAUGACAGUUGAGCCAGUUCGUUUUGCGAUGCCUGUCCAUCGGGUCGCAUGUUUUUUCGCGUCGUUCGUCGUCGGUGAGUUUGUCGGGUGAGUGCGCGCGUAUGUGUGUGAAUGUGCGGCUGGCUCUGGUUCAAAAAAUGACAGUUGAGCCAGUCCGUUUUGCGAUGCCUGUCCAUCGGGUCGCAUGUUUUUUCGCGUCGUUCGUCGACGGUGAAUUUGUCGGGUGAGUGCGCGCGUGUGUGUGUGAAGGUGCGGCUGGUUUGGUUGAAAAAAUGACAGUUGAGCCAGUCCGUUUUGCGAUGCCUGUCCGUCGGGUCGCAUGUUUUUUUCGCGUCGUUCGUCGUCGGUGAUUUUGUCGGGUGAGUGCGCGCGUGUGUGUGUAAAGGUGCGGCUUGCUCUGGUUGUCACGAUGACAGUUGAGGCAGUCCGUUUUGUGGUUACCUGUAUGUUUGUCUAUUCCUUUCUAUUGACGUGGCUUUUUUUCUUCUUAGUUAGAUUGUAAAGUUCAAAUAUCGCGAUCGUCUUUCUCGUUAGUCAGUCGGGUUUCUUUGUUCUAUGAUUCGCGAUUGUUUCAUGGGAAGAUUCGUUCUUAAUUGCGUUAGCAUAAUAUAAAUUAUAUUUGACCUUUCGUUUCCCGCGAAAUCACCUUUUAGCAAUAUAGCUCGUAAAGCACGGUGACAAAUAUUGUUUCAACGCGAUUGUUCAAGUCCUUCAGAUAACUCAUAACUCAUCAGUAAUUAAUUGGUCGCUCAUCUUAUAAAAACUUAAAAGUAUAAAUAGUCUCAGGUCAACUCUACGUAAAUGUGUUACGCUGAGUAUAAUAUUUCACCUUUUAAUUACACACAAUUUUGAUUCUAUCUUUCCACAGCCGACUGUCUAAGAUUAAAUCAUUUGUGCUAAACUCAACACCAAAUAACCGGGAAUGGUCUCAUCCGCAUCAUCCGAUUGUUUGGCUUGAGAAUACAUAAUACAUCACCCUAUCACUCAACGAAAUUCAUUGAUUAUUGGGCCACAUCAUCAUCCUCUAUGAUGAAUCCUGGCCAUUACCCUUUUCCACUAACAAAAUCCCAAGUAGAAGUAGUUUUCCGGCACACGCGGGGGUGUGGAUAUCGUAUAGAACCCACCCUUGGUAGCAGCCUGUGCUAACUAACAUUCCCGUCCCGUUCCCUCGAGAUCUACAAACUGACAUGGCGGGCGCCGUUGGUGGCCAAUGACUGUUUCCUAUUAGCAACGGCUCUAGUUUUGAUGAUCGUGAUGUUUUAUCUUUUCAGCGCAUUCAUGCAUGCUGUUGAUAAGGGAAACAUUAUUUGAUCGUUGAAGCGUAUGACCGGUUGUGUUGAUAGGAUAUUACGGUUCUGCUCAGCAACGGAGAAGGACAACCAUGGGUGGUCUCUCAUGCUCAUGCUCAUGCUCUUAAGGGCUCGGUUUUCAAGAUAUAGCCACCGAAAGGUUGAUUUUGACGAAAUAUUUGCAGUUUUUUUAUUUUUAAAAAUAGUAACCAUCAGUGACCAUUUCUGAAAAUAUUUCUUCUGAAAAGUUCAGAAAAAUAGCUUCAAAAUUGUCUAAGAGACAUUGAAGAUUGGACCUCUGGUUGCUGAGAUACAGCGGCAAAACCAAAAAUAAACCGGAAAACUGAAGUUCUCUAAGUCACAUCCAAGCAACCCACCAUUUUCUAAUGUCGAUAUCUCAGUAACUAAUGGUUCGAUUUUCAAUGUUAAAACAUGAAACAUUUGUGAAAUUUUCCGAUUUUGUCGAAAAAAAUAUUUUGAAUUUUUUUGAAUCAAGACUAACAUUUCAAAAGGGCGUAAUUUUGAAUGUUUGGUCCUUUUGAAAUGUUAGUCUCGAUUCAAAAAAUUUCAAAAUAUUUUUUUUGAAAAGAUCGGAAAAUUUUAACAAAUGUUUCAUGUUUUAACAUUGAAAAUCGGACCUUUAGUUACUGAGAUAUCGACAUUAGAUAAUGGUGGGUUGUUUAGGUGAGACUUAGAAAACUUAAAUUUUCCGGUUUUUUUUUUCAUUAUACCGCUAUAUCUCAGCAACCAGAGGUCCAAUCUUCAAUGUCUCUUACACAAUUUCAUAGCAAUUUUUCUAAACUUUAAAUUUUUUUUCAGAAAUGGUCACUUAUGGUCACUAUUUUUAAAAAUCAAAAAACUGCAAAUAUUUCGUCAAAAUCAAACUUUCGGUGGCUAUAUCUUGAAAACGGCCCAUCUGCUCCAACCUUCCAUCGGAUGAGGAAGUAAAAUGUCGGUCCCGGCCUUGGUUGUUAGGCCGUUAAGUCAAUCUCCAUUCAAAACGGAACGUCGGAUCAAGGUGCUCUUUGUUGCGUUGGGUUCGUAUAAGUCCAAGGAAGGUUCUUGCGCUAAAGAGUGACAACUUUGGCCACUCCGGAACCGAUUACGGAAGAUCUGCAGAUUGUAUGGGAAAAGUUGCGUAAAAUCAAAUUUUGAUCACAGGAGGCUAAAAACGUUAAGAAGUGAAAAAAUGACAAGACGAAGUUUGUCGGGUGAGCUUGUUUUACAUAAAAAAUUGAGGUCAAGAUAUUUUUUGGCGUAAAAUUUCGAUUUUUUCCAAAAAUCACUACUUUUUAAAAAAAAUCAUAACUCGGCGACAGAUUUUUUACCAUGCUUCUCUAUAGCUCAAAAGUUGCGGGUUUUUGUCCCAUAAAACAUAUAAAAAAAAAUCUCGAAAAUCAAAAAAUACUCAAAAGUUACAGCUGUUUAAAUAUUUACGUACCAUUUUUGUAUGGACAGCUGCCAAAAUUGUAUGGAGACUUGUAUGGGUAAACCAAUGACACAAAAUAGCUUGUUUGGUCAUAGGGAAGGCCCCCACAAAGUUUGAGCCAAAUCAAAACAUACAAAAAAUAAAAAUGGUCGAAAUCGGCCGAUUUUGUAGAGAAUUGCUCUCUAGAGUUCUCGAGGACGUUCGGAAAACAUAGUAAAUGAGUUCAACAACCAGUUCGGAAAUCUCGUGGCGAACAAAGUUGCUACUUGGGGUGCACUGUAUAGGUACAAAUAUUUUUUUAACGAAUAAACAUUCACGAUUAUACUCCAGUUUCCAACAGUGUUAUGCAUUAAAUUUUCGCCUAAUUUGCUAAUGACAAAUUCCGCCGAGACGUUGCAACGCUUUGACUUUUCUUUUUUCAGUAUUUCGACUAUAACUCAAAAAAUACAUUGAAAAUGUACAUAUGUUAUUACAGAUUCGGAAAGAACAUAAAAUUUCAUAUAAGAAACAAUGUUGAAACAUUAUUUUAAGCGAAUAUUCUAUGUUUGAGAGAGCAAUAUGUAGCGUGACGUUGCAACGCGUGACUUUUUCUCAAUCCUGAUCCAAUUCAUGUUUCGCCAUUAAUUCUGCUCUGUUCAACGACAAAUUGGAGUUCUUCUUCCAUUUUUAGUGUAAAAUUGGCCAACAAAUCGAAUGCAAUCAUUA